rnacentral:snRNA from 1 species
UUGCUUCAGCAGCAUAUGUAUUAAAAUUGGAACAAUAUAGAAGUUAACCUUGCCCCUUAUGCGAAGAUGACAUGCAAAUUCAUAAAUGUUCCUUAUUUUU